UGGCGGUGUAGCUUAAACGGCUGAAAGCGCCGGUCUCAUAAACCGGAGAGUAAAGGUUCGACUCCUUUCACCGCAA
rnacentral:tRNA from 1 species